UGGGGAAUUUUGGACAAUGGGGGCAACCCUGACCCAGCAAUGCCGCGUGUGUGAAGAAGGCCUUCGGGUUGUAAAGCACUUUUGUCCGGAAAGAAAUCCUCUGGGUUAAUACCUCGGGGGGAUGACGGUACCGGAAGAAUAAGCAUCGGCUAACUACGUGCCAGCAGUCGCGGUAAUACGUAGGAUGCAAGCGUUGUCCGGAAUUACUGGGCGUAAAGGGCGAGCAGGUGGCAAGUCAAGUCUGAUGUAAAAUCUCCCGGCUUAACUGGGAGGGGCCAUUGGAAACUGGCUAGCUGGAGUGCAGGAGAGGCUAACGGAAUUCCCGGUGUAGUGGUGAAAUGCGUAGAUAUCGGGAGGAACACCAGUGGCGAAGGCGGUUAGCUGGCCUGUAACUGACACUGAGGCGCGAAGGCUAGGGGAGCGAAC
rnacentral:rRNA from 1 species